UGGCCAGAGUGUUUUUGCACUUGGUAAAAUUACUCAUGAGGAUUAUUCCAACAUCUGAUGGUUUGACCCCUUUUGAGAUAGUGAAUGGGAGACCUUUUGUUCUACCUCUAUGGGAAGGACAGCCAUGGGCAGAAAAAGAACAAGAUGACAUUGACCCGCUAACUAAGUGGAUGCUGAAGCUUUUCAGUGACAAAACUGUUCGGAAAACAUGUAAUCUGCCUAGUGCUCCUUUUGUUUCCCCACAGGAAGGCCUGAAGCCUGGAGACCGAGUGCUGAUUAAAAUCAUCAAAAGAAAAACUUGGAAAGCUCUGAGGUGGGAAGGACCCUACAUAGUGCAACUAACAACCCCCACCGCCGUGAAAAUCCAGGAAAGAGACACUUGGAUCCACCAGAGUUACUGACCACUCGUCUCACCGCUGGUGAAGAAAACAACCUAACCCAGUCCUUUAGAGUCCUAGUUAAUGGGUGUUUCAUUGGAAGAGCUGGUGAAGACGGGAAAACUAAUGACGUUCUGCUGCCUGGUGGUGACCAUUGGACCGGUGUUCCUAGGGACUUAAACUGACUGUCUGAAACAAAGGAAGAGCAGGAUGAUUUUUGAUGGAUCCACAGCAAGUCAUCCUACAGUGCCAAAAUGUGGUGGCAGCAUUCCAAGCGCGUUGCUGAAGAUUUGAACAAAACAGACUGUUAUGUUUGUACUCAUAUUCCUACUUCUAUGAAUAUAAUAUGAAUUGAAAGAUGCUGAUGUUUUUUAUGUUUAACAGGGGCGAAAUGUUAUAGUUAUGAUUAUAAAAUUAUGCUACAUUUGUGUGCUGUGAUUCAAUCAAGAGGGUCGUAGACUUUUGUGACCUGCAUCCUGCUAUCCUGUGAUUCAAUCAUUAGGUCAUGAGGCAAAGUCACACGGUUGCAUCCUGCUGUGAUUCAAUCAAGAGGAGCAUUUUGUCCUAUGACCCAAUCAAUUGCCUUGUCAAAAGAACACUGUUCUGUAACCCAACCCAUGUGUUAUGAUCUGCUAAUAAAAGGCUUCUGCUGAGGAGACAGAGAGAGUGCAGAUGUAGCUGAACGUGACUCUCUCCUCUUGCAGGAGCCAAAGAACCCUA